CUUGCUUCCGCUGACGACCGGCGCACGGGUGCGUAACGCGUAUGCAACCUACCUCAUACUGGAGAAUAGCCCUUGGAAACGAGGAUUAAUGCUCCAUAGUAUCACAGAUUCGCAUGUUUCUGUGAUUAAAGAAUUUCGGUAUGAGAUGGGCAUGCGUCCCAUUAGCUUGUUGGUGAGGUAACGGCUCACCAAGGCAACGAUGGGUAGGGGGCCUGAGAGGGUGACCCCCCACACUGGUACUGAGACACGGACCAGACUCCUACGGGAGGCAGCAGUGAGGAAUAUUGGGCAAUGGAGGCAACUCUGACCCAGCCAUGCCGCGUGAAGGAUGACUGCCCUAUGGGUUGUAAACUUCUUUUAUAUGGGAAGAAACUUAUCUACGUGUAGAUAACUGACGGUACCAUACGAAUAAGGAUCGGCUAACUCCGUGCCAGCAGCCGCGGUAAUACGGAGGAUCCAAGCGUUAUCCGGAUUCAUUGG
rnacentral:rRNA from 1 species